rnacentral:tmRNA from 4 species
GGGGGUGCACUGGCUUCGACGGGGGUUGCGAAAUUGUCUGGUGCAUGCCGAGGGGGCAGCUUUCCUCGUAAAUCCAGCGGCAAAAUCAUAGUUGCCAACGACGACAACUACGCUCUCGCCGCUUAAGGCGUAAGCCCCGAACCCACUUGUGCCCGUGCUCGUGGAUGUAGGGUCAUUAUCACGGAACCGGCGUUGACGGCUGCCUGUCAGUCAUCGCUUAACCAAAACAGGCUGGUCCUGGGGUGCGCUUCGCACGCCGUGCUGCUCCGGGGCGAGAUCCAACGGUGAGCUAAGCAUGUAGUACCGGGCAUGGAGUGCCUUCGGACGGGGGUUCAAUUCCCCCCACCUCCACCA